UACGGGGGGAGCAAGCGUUGUUCGGAUUUACUGGGCGUAAAGGGCGCGUAGGCGGCCAGCACAAGUCAGUUGUGAAAUCUCCGGGCUUAACUCGGAACGGCCAAGUGAAACUGUCAAGCUAGAGUGCAGAAGGGGCAAUCGGAAUUCUUGGUGUAGCGGUGAAAUGCGUAGAUAUCAAGAGGAACACCUGAGGUGAAGACGGGUUGCUGGGCUGACACUGACGCUGAGGCGCGAAAGCCAGGGGAGCAAACGGG
rnacentral:rRNA from 1 species